GCUAGCGGGAGGCUAAUACAUGCAGUCGAGGGGCAGCAGGUCCGAACCUAGUUUGGAUGCUGGCGACCGGCGCACGGGUGAGUAACGCGUACACUACCUACCUUAUACUGGAGGAUAGCCCUGGGAAACUAGGAUUAAUACUCCAUGGUUCCGACCUAGUCGGAUAAAGCUUCGGCGGUAUAAGAUGGGUGUGCGUCUGAUUAGCUAGUUGGUGAGGUAACGGCUCACCAAGGCGACGAUCAGUAGGGGGCGUGAGAGCGUGACCCCCCACACGGGUACUGAGAAACGGACCCGACUCCUACGGGAGGCAGCAGUAAGGAAUAUUGGACAAUGGGCGCAAGCCUGAUCCAGCCAUCCCGCGUGCAGGAUGACUGCCCUAUGGGUUGUAAACUGCUUUUACUUGGGAAGAAACCUGUGUAUUGAUACACAGCUGACGGUACCAAGGGAAUAAGCACCGGCUAACUCCGUGCCAGCAGCCGCGGUAAUACGGAGGGUGCAAGCGUUAUCCGGAAUCACUGGGUUUAAAGGGUGCGUAGGCGGCACAGUAAGUCAGGGGUGAAAGGCCGUAGCUUAACUAUGGGACUGCCUUUGAUACUGCUGAGCUUGAAUGGAGUUGAGGUUA
rnacentral:rRNA from 1 species